UUUCGUCAAUGGGCGCAAGCCUGAACGAGCAAAUGCCGCGUGAACGAGGAAGGUCUUCGGAUACGUAAAGUUCUGUUGAAGGGGAAAAAGGAGCGGAGAGAGGAAAUGCUUUCUGAUUGAUAUUACCCUUCGAGGAAGUCACGGCUAACUACGUGCC
rnacentral:rRNA from 1 species